GACGAACGCUGGCGGCGUGCCUAAUACAUGCAAGUUGAGCGCUGAAGGUUGGUACUUGUACCAACUGGAUGAGCAGCGAACGGGUGAGUAACGCGUGGGGAAUCUGCCUUUGAGCGGGGGACAACAUUUGGAAACGAAUGCUAAUACCGCAUAAAAACUUUAAACACAAGUUUUAAGUUUGAAAGAUGCAAUUGCAUCACUCAAAGAUGAUCCCGCGUUGUAUUAGCUAGUUGGUGAGGUAAAGGCUCACCAAGGCGAUGAUACAUAGCCGACCUGAGAGGGUGAUCGGCCACAUUGGGACUGAGACACGGCCCAAACUCCUACGGGAGGCAGCAGUAGGGGAUCUUCGGCAAUGGAAGAAAGUCUGACCGAGCAACGCCGCGUGAGUGAAGAAGGUUUUCGGAUCGUAAAACUCUGUUGGUAGAGAAGAACGUUGGUGAGAGUGGAAAGCUCAUCAAGUGACGGUAACUACCCAGAAAGGGACGGCUAACUACGUG
rnacentral:rRNA from 1 species